rnacentral:rRNA from 2 species
GAUUUCUGGUACGGUGCGCCUGACCCACAGUCGAAAGGCUCGUGAAGUGUCGGUGUGCGUCUGCCAUCCUUCUAGGAAUCCUAUCUCACUUCACUGGGAGGUAGGUGAACUAGAUCUUUUACUUUGAAAAAAUUAGAGUGUUUAAAGCAGGCUUGCGCCUUGAAUACAUUAGCAUGGAAUAAUAAUUUAGGACUUUUUUCCUAUUUUGUUGGUUUUAAGGGAUUAAGUAAUGAUUGAUAGGGAUAGUUGGGGGUGCUAGUAUUCAUCGGCCAGAGGUGAAAUUCUUGGAUUCGAUGAAGACUAACUUAUGCGAAAGCAUU